UUUCCCUAGCUCCUCCUUUCAACCAGAUUUCACAGUUGAAUGAACUUCCUUUUCCACUGCAUUGCAAACAGAGUUAGAACCUUUACAAGAAGGGAACCAUGAAGAAGAGCUUGGAGUGGGCAAGGCUGCUUUAUCAGCCUUGAAGACCUGAUUCUUCAAGUAUCAAUUCAUUCUGGUUAUUCUCACCUGGUUGGCAUGCACAAAACAAGACACUUCAAUCCGACACUCUUGCUGUCAGAGUCGUGUGUAUCGGUGGCAGGGAAGUCAGGCGCAGGAGAGUCAAACGGAGUGUAAAAUGGAGUCUUUUAAUGAAUGUCCACAUAACAUGCUCCAUAACACUAAUAAGAAAUUAAUAUAAACAAACAUGGGGUACGAGGACCCGUCGUGCACCUAUACAAUAAACACAACACUGACAAUAAUCAAACUCUGACAAAGACAUGAGGGGAAACAGAGGGUUAAAUACACAACAGGUAAUGAAUGGGAUUGAAAACAGGUGUGUGGGAAGACAAGACAAAACCAAUGGAAAAUGGAUCAAUGAUGGCUAGAAGACCGGUGACGUCGACCGCCGAGCACCGCCCGAACAAGGAGAGGCAACGACUUCGGCAGAAGUCAUGACACUUGUUAAUGUUUAACGUCAGGCAAAACGUCUUCAGCCACCGUAGGACUGAGAGCCGCUGGUUGGCAUUUUUGACUGCAGUGUCUGUGUGGGUGUACCAGGAAAGGACAUUAGAAGUUAGGUCCCAAUGAUAUCGAAGCUUCUUACCAUCUCCACUGCAGCCCAGUCAAUAUCAAAAACUGUAACAAUAGAUAUUGUGUAGCACAGAGUAGCAAAAAUGUAACUGGAACAACUCCAGAUUGCCUAUUGUUCCAACAAAUGUCAAUUUAAAUGUUUACAUAUGUCAGAGUGCAUUUUCUUUUAUAGCUCUGCUUUCAGCGCCAUCCUGACCCACAAACUGGUUAGCAGACUCAGGGCUCUGGGUGUAAAUCCUGUAGUAACAAAUUAGAUUUUUUACAUUAUCACAAGAAUGUGUAUCUCCAGAAUGGACCCGACACUACCAUGGUACACCUGAUCACCAGUGAUCAUGAGUAAAUGAAGGAGCUGUGGGACCUGACAUAAUGGUGAUAGGACAACAGUCUUAGCGUAAGCAAAACAAAGUAGAUGGUGAUACUUGACCAUUCUCCCAUCUACUGUACAUUGACAUGAAGAUGAUCAGCAGCUUCAAGUUCCUGGGCACCCUGAUAUCCUUUUCUGCCCUCAGUUACUUCACUCAAAGUCCCACUUGUGCUUCUCCACUACCCUCAAACUUGCUGCACCACAUCCUAUGUACCAACUACAGUGUCUGUUUUUAUUUCCAUAACACAUGUAAAUGAAAUGUCCAUAUCUACUGUAAGAUUUAUUUAUGGUAACAUUGCACAUAGUCCCUUGACAUACAUGACUUAACUACUUUGCAUAAUGCUCAGUUUACCUACUCUAAGAAAUCAUACAUUUUUUAAAUAUUAAAGCUGCAUUAUGUA